rnacentral:rRNA from 1 species
AGGGGAAUAUUGGACAAUGGGCGCAAGCCUGAUCCAGCCAUGCCGCGUGAGUGAUGAAGGCCCUAGGGUUGUAAAGCUCUUUCACCGGUGAAGAUAAUGACGGUAACCGGAGAAGAAGCCCCGGCUAACUUCGUGCCAGCAGCCGCGGUAAUACGAAGGGGGCUAGCGUUAUUCGGAUUUACUGGGCGUAAAGCGCACGUAGGCGGACUUUUAAGUCAGGGGUGAAAUCCCGGGGCUCAACCCCGGAACUGCCUUUGAUACUGGAAGUCUUGAGUAUGGUAGAGGUGAGUGGAAUUCCGAGUGUAGAGGUGAAAUUCGUAGAUAUUCGUAGGAACACCAGUGGCGAAGGCGGCUCACUGGACCAUUACUGACGCUGAGGUGCGAAAGCGUGGGGAGCAAACAGG